rnacentral:rRNA from 1 species
GACGAACGCUGGCGGCGUGCUUAACACAUGCAAGUCGAACGAAGUGGCGGACGGGUGAGUAACGCGUAAUCAACCUGCACUUCAGAGGGGGACAACAGUUGGAAACGACAGCUAAUACCGCAUAAUGAAGGAGGGGAUUGCGUCGGAUUAGCUAGUGGGUGGGGUAACGGCCCACCAAGGCGAUGAUCAGUAGCCGGUCUGAGAGGGUGAACGGCCACAUUGGGACUGGGACACGGCCCAGACUCCUACGGGAGGCAGCAGUGGGGAAUCUUCCGCAAUGGACGAAAGUCUGACGGAGCAACGCCGCGUGAGUGAAGACGGCCUUCGGGUUGUAAAGCUCUGUUAAUCGGGACGCGGUACCGGAAUAGAAAGCCACGGCUAACUACGUGCCAGCAGCCGCGGUAAUAC